AUGGAGGUGGAGGCCGGCUCUCAUGCCGACACGGCGAGCAAGUUCACGCUGCCGGUGGACUCGGAGCACAAGGCCAAGUCCUUCAGGCUCUUCUCCUUCGCCAAUCCGCACAUGCGUACCUUCCACCUCUCCUGGAUCUCCUUCUUCACCUGCUUCAUCUCCACCUUCGCGCGGCGCCUCUCGUCCCCAUCAUCCGCGACAACCUCAACCUUGCCAAGGCCGACAUCGGCAAUGCUGGCGUGGCAUCCGUGUCCGGCUCCAUCUUCUCGAGGCUCGCCAUGGGAGCCGUUCUUCUGCAUGGCCGUCAUCGACGAUGCGUCGGGGUACAUCGCUGUCCGCUUCCUCAUCGGCUUCUCCCUCGCCACCUUCGUGUCGUGCCAGUACUGGAUGAGCACCAUGUUCAACAGUAAAAUCAUAGGCACGGUGAAUGGCCUCGCGGCGGGGUGGGGAAACAUGGGUGGCGGCGCUACGCAGCUCAUCAUGCCCCUUGUCUUCCAUGCCAUCCAAAAGUGUGGUGCAACACCCUUUGUGGCAUGGCGUAUCGCCUACUUUGUGCCAGGAAUGAUGCACAUCGUGAUGGGCCUACUUGUGCUCACCAUGGGGCAAGAUCUUCCAGAUGGCAACCUUGCGAGCCUCCAAAAGAAGGGAGACAUGGCCAAGGACAAGUUCUCCAAGGUCCUUUGGGGUGCCGUCACUAACUACCGCACGUGGAUUUUCGUCCUCCUCUACGGCUACUGCAUGGGCGUCGAGCUCACCACCGACAAUGUCAUCGCCGAGUACUACUACGACCACUUCCACCUUGACCUGCGUGCUGCUGGCACCAUUGCCGCUUGCUUCGGCAUGGCCAACAUCGUUGCACGUCCUAUGGGUGGCUACCUCUCCGACCUUGGUGCCCGGUACUUCGGAAUGCAUGCUCGCCUCUGGAACAUCUGGAUCCUCCAGACCACUGGGGGAGCUUUCUGUAUCUGGCUCGGUCGUGCAUCUGCUCUUCCCGCCUCGGUGACUGCCAUGGUCCUCUUCUCCAUCUGUGCCCAGGCCGCAUGUGGUGCUGUCUUUCGUGUGGCACCAUUUGUUUCUAGGCGUUCCCUUGGCAUCAUCUCUGCGCUGACCGGCGCUGGUGGCAACGUGGGUGCGGGACUCACACAACUUCUCUUCUUCACUUCGUCGCAAUACUCCACUGGCAGGGGUCUUGAGUACAUGGGCAUCAUGAUCAUGGCAUGCACUCUCCCCGUCGCUCUCGUGCACUUCCCUCAGUGGGGCUCCAUGUUCUUCCCAGCCAGCGCCGACGCCACCGAAGAGGAGUACUACGCCUCCGAGUGGUCAGAGGAGGAGAAGAGCAAGGGUCUUCAUAUCGCAGGACAAAAGUUUGCUGAGAACUCCCGCUCGGAACGCGGCAGGCGCAACGUCAUCCUUGCCACAUCCGCUACGCCGCCCAACAACACGCCCCAACAUGUAUAA
rnacentral:rRNA from 1 species